UAAGGAAUAUUGGUCAAUGGACGCAAGUCUGAACCAGCCAUGCCGCGUGAAGGAUGAAGGUCCUCUGGAUUGUAAACUUCUUUUAUCUGGGACGAAAACGGGAUUUUUAUCUCAAUUGACGGUACCAGAGGAAUAAGCAUCGGCUAACUUCGUGCCAGCAGCCGCGGUAAUACGAAGGAUGCAAGCGUUAUCCGGAAUUAUUGGGUUUAAAGGGUGCGUAGGCGGACUAAUAAGUCAGUGGUGAAAGUCUGCAGCUUAACUGCAGAAUUGCCAUUGAUACUGUUAGUCUUGAGUACAGUUGAGGUAGGCGGAAUGUGUCAUGUAGCGGUGAAAUGCUUAGAUAUGACACAGAACACCGAUUGCGAAGGCAGCUUGCUAAGCUGUAACUGACGCUGAGGCACGAAAGCGUGGGGAGCAAACA
rnacentral:rRNA from 1 species